GAUGAAGAACGCAGCGAAAUGCGAUAAGUAAUGUGAAUUGCAGAAUUCAGUGAAUCAUCGAAUCUUUGAACGCACAUUGCGCCCGCCAGUAUUCUGGCGGGCAUGCCUGUUCGAGCGUCAUUACAACCCUCAGGCCCCCGGGCCUGGCGUUGGGGAUCGGCGGAAGCCCCCUGCGGGCACAACGCCGUCCCCCAAAUACAGUGGCGGUCCCGCCGCAGCUUCCAUUGCGUAGUAGCUAACACCUCGCAACUGGAGAGCGGCGCGGCCACGCCGUAAAACACCCAACUUCUGAAUGUUGACCUCGAAUCAGGUAGGAAUACCCGCUGAACUUAAGCAUAUCAAUAAGCGGAGGC
rnacentral:misc_RNA from 1 species